GUGAUGCCCUUAGAUGUUCUGGGCUGCACGCGCGCUACAAUGGUGCGAGCAAUGAGAUGAGGGCUGAACCGAGAGGUUUGGCGCGCCUCGUAAACCGCACCCUGCCAGGGAUAGAUCAUUGCAAUUGUUGAUCUUGAACGAGGAAUGCCUAGUAAGCACGAGUCAUCAGCUCGUGCUGAAUACGUCCCUGCCCUUUGUACACACCGCCCGUCGCUCCUGCCAAUGGAUCGGCUGGGGAGAGGGAG
rnacentral:rRNA from 12 species